rnacentral:rRNA from 1 species
GACGAACCGUGCGAACGUUGUUCGGAAUCACUGGGCUUAAAGGGCGCGUAGGCGGGCUCACAAGUCAGGGGUGAAAUCCCACGGCUCAACCGUGGAAGUGCCUUUGAUACUGUGGGUCUUGAGGGAGGUAGGGGCGUGCGGAACUUCCGGUGGAGCGGUGAAAUGCGUAGAGAUCGGAAAGAACACCAACGGCGAAAGCACUCUGCUGGGCCGACACUGACACUGAGAGACGAAAGCUAGGGGAGCGAAUGGG